GACGGAGGGUGCUAGCGUUGUUCGGAAUUACUGGGCGUAAAGGGCGCGUAGGCGGCUGCUCAAGUCGGGUGUGAAAGCCCGGGGCUCAACCCCGGAACGGCACCCGAGACUGGGCGGCUCGAGACCGGGAGAGGUGGGUGGAAUACCCAGUGUAGAGGUGAAAUUCGUAGAUAUUGGGAAGAACACCGGUGGCGAAGGCGGCUCACUGGCUCGUAUCUGACGCUCAGGCGCGACAGCGUGGGGAUCAAACAGG
rnacentral:rRNA from 1 species